rnacentral:rRNA from 1 species
UACGUAGGGGGCGAGCGUUGUCCGGAUUUAUUGGGCGUAAAGAGCUCGUAGGCGGUUUGGUAAGUCGGGUGUGAAAUCUCCACGCUCAACGUGGAGGGGCCACUCGAUACUGCCAUGACUCGAGUCCGGUAGAGGAGUGUGGAAUUCCCGGUGUAGCGGUGAAAUGCGCAGAUAUCGGGAGGAACACCGGUGGCGAAGGCGGCGACCUGGGUAGAGACUGACGCUGAGGCGCGAAAGCGUGGGGAGCAAACAGG